rnacentral:rRNA from 1 species
UGGUGGAGUGAUUUGUCUGGUUAAUUCCGUUAACGAACGAGACCUCAGCCUACUAAAUAGUUGACAUUAUCUCACGAUAGUGAUUCACUUCUUAGAGGAACAAUUCGGCUAACCGGAUGGAAGUUUGAGGCAAUAACA